UGCCAGCAGCCGCGGUAAUACAGAGGGUCCAAGCGUUAAUCGGAAUCACUGGGCUUAAAGGGUGCGUAGGCGGAUUCGCAAGUACCUUGUGAAAUCCCACGGCUCAACCGUGGAAUUGCUCGGUAUACUACGAAUCUUGAGAUCGGUAGAGGCUGUCGGAACUCUAGGUGGAGCGGUGAAAUGCGUAGAUAUCUAGAGGAACACCAAUGGCGAAGGCAGACGGCUGGGCCGAUUCUGACGCUGAGGCACGAAAGCGUGGGUAGCGAACGGGAUUAGAUA
rnacentral:rRNA from 1 species